rnacentral:rRNA from 1 species
CACAUGCAAGUCGAGGGGCAGCAUGGUCUUAGCUUGCUAAGGCCGAUGGCGACCGGCGCACGGGUGAGUAACGCGUAUCCAACCUGCCUUACACUCUUGGACAGCCUUCUGAAAGGGAGAUUAAUACAAGAUGUUAUCAUGAGUAAGCAUUUUCGCAUGAUUAAAGGCUUACCGGUGUAAGAUGGGGAUGCGUUCCAUUAGAUAGUAGGCGGGGUAACGGCCCACCUAGUCUUCGAUGGAUAGGGGUUCUGAGAGGAAGGUCCCCCACAUUGGAACUGAGACACGGUCCAAACUCCUACGGGAGGCAGCAGUGAGGAAUAUUGGUCAAUGGACGAGAGUCUGAACCAGCCAAGUAGCGUGAAGGAUGAAGGUUCUAUGGAUUGUAAACUUCUUUUAUACGGGAAUAAACGGAUCCACGUGUGGAUUUUUGCAUGUACCGUAUGAAUAAGGAUCGGCUAACUCCGUGCCAGCAGCCGCGGUAAUACGGAGGAUCCGAGCGUUAUCCGGAUUUAUUGGGUUUAAAGGGAGCGUA